UACAUAGGUGGCAAGCGUUGUCCGGAAUAACUGGGCGUAAAGAGAGCGUAGGCGGUUAAUCAAGUUGAUUGUGAAAUCCCGUGGCUUAACCACGGAACUGCAGUCAAAACUGGUGAACUAGAGUUCGGAAGAGGAAGGCGGAAUUCCUAGUGUAGCGGUGGAAUGCGUAGAUAUUAGGAGGAACACCAGAGGCGAAGGCGGCCUUCUGGGACGAAACUGACGCUGAGGCUCGAAAGUAUGGGGAGCAAAC
rnacentral:rRNA from 1 species